rnacentral:rRNA from 1 species
GCACAGAGGAGCUUGCUCCUCGGGUGACGAGUGGCGGACGGGUGAGUAAUGUCUGGGAAACUGCCCGAUGGAGGGGGAUAACUACUGGAAACGGUAGCUAAUACCGCAUAACGUCGCAAGACCAAAGUGGGGGACCUUCGGGCCUCACACCAUCGGAUGUGCCCAGAUGGGAUUAGCUUGUAGGCGGGGUAACGGCCCACCUAGGCGACGAUCCCUAGCUGGUCUGAGAGGAUGACCAGCCACACUGGAACUGAGACACGGUCCAGACUCCUACGGGAGGCAGCAGUGGGGAAUAUUGCACAAUGGGCGCAAGCCUGAUGCAGCCAUGCCGCGUGUAUGAAGAAGGCCUUCGGGUUGUAAAGUACUUUCAGCGGGGAGGAAGGUGUUGAGGUUAAUAACCUCAGCAAUUGACGUUACCCGCAGAAGAAGCACCGGCUAACUCCGUGCCAGCAGCCGCGGUAAUACGGAGGGUGCAAGCGUUAAUCGGAAUUACUGGGCGUANAGCGCACGCAGGCGGUCUGUUAAGUCAGAUGUGAAAUCCCCGGGCUUAACCUGGGAACUGCAUUUGAAACUGGCAGGCUUGAGUCUCGUANAGGGGGGUAGAAUUCC